UACGAGGGGGGCAAGCGUUGUUCGGAAUUAUUGGGCGUAAAGGGCGCGUAGGCGGUGCGGUAAGUCACCUGUGAAAUCUCCGGGCUUAACUCGGAGCCUGCAGGCGAAACUGCCGUGCUUGAGUGUGGGAGAGGUGCGUGGAAUCCCCGGUGUAGCGGUGAAAUGCGCAGAGAUCGGGAGGAACACCCGUAGCGAAGGCGGCACUCUGGGCCGAUACUGACGCUGAGGAGCGAAAGCGUGGGGAGCAAACAGG
rnacentral:rRNA from 1 species